UUGCUCUGGCAGUACGAAUACUAAAAUUGGAACGACACAGAUAAGAUGAGCAUGGUCCCUGCGAAAGGAUGACACGCAAAUUCGUGAAGUGUUCUCUCAAUCU